GUCGAGGGGUAUAGUUCUUCGGAAUUAGAGACCGGCGCACGGGUGCGUAACGCGUAUGCAAUCUACCUUUCACAGAGGGAUAGCCCAGAGAAAUUUGGAUUAAUACCUCAUAGUAUGCAGAGUUGGCAUCAACACUGCAUUAAAGUCACAACGGUGAAAGAUGAGCAUGCGUCCCAUUAGCUAGUUGGUAAGGUAACGGCUUACCAGGGCUACGAUGGGUAGGGGUCCUGAGAGGGAGAUCCCCCACACUGGUACUGAGACACGGACCAGACUCCUACGGGAGGCAGCAGUGAGGAAUAUUGGUCAAUGGGCGCAAGCCUGAACCAGCCAUGCCGCGUGCAGGAUGACGGUCCUAUGGAUUGUAAACUGCUUUUGUACAGGAAGAAACAACAUUACGUGUAAUGUCUUGACGGUACUGUAAGAAUAAGGAUCGGCUAACUCCGUGCCAGCAGCCGCGGUAAUACGGAGGAUCCAAGCGUUAUCCGGAAUCAUUGGGUUUAAAGGGUCCGUAGGCGGUUUAGUAAGUCAGUGGUGAAAGCCCAUCGCUCAACGGUGGAACGGCCAUUGAUACUGCUAGACUUGAAUUAUUAGGAAGUAACUAGAAUAUGUAGUGUAGCGGUGAAAUGCUUAGAGAUUACAUGGAAUACCAAUUGCGAAGGCAGGUUACUACUAAUGGAUUGACGCUGAUGGACGAAAGCGUGGGUAGCGAACAGGAUUAGAUACCCUGGUAGUCCACGCCGUAAACGAUGGAUACUAGCUGUUGGGAGCGAUCUCAGUGGCUAAGCGAAAGU
rnacentral:rRNA from 1 species